AGCGAACGCUGGCGGCAGGCCUAACACAUGCAAGUCGAACGAACCUUUCGGGGUUAGUGGCGGACGGGUGAGUAACACGUGGGAACGUGCCUUUAGGUUCGGAAUAACUCAGGGAAACUUUUUCUAAUACCGAAUGUGCCCUUCGGGGGAAAGAUUAAUCGCCUUUAGAGCGGCCCGCGUCUGAUUAGCUAGUUGGUUGAGGUAAUGGCUCACCAAGGCGACGAUCAGUAGCUGGUCUGAGAGGAUGAUCAGCCACAUUGGGACUGAGACACGGCCCAAACUCCUACGGGAGGCAGCAGUGGGGAAUCUUGCGCAAUGGGCGAAAGCCUGACGCAGCCAUGCCGCGUGAAUGAUGAAGGUCUUAGGAUUGUAAAAUUCUUUCACCGGGGACGAUAAUGACGGUACCAGGAGAAGAAGCCCCGGCUAACUUCGUG
rnacentral:rRNA from 1 species